rnacentral:rRNA from 1 species
UACGUAGGUGGCAAGCGUUGUCCGGAUUUACUGGGCGUAAAGGGCGUGCAGGCGGUUUGUUUAGUCUAGGGUGAAAGCUCCCGGCUUAACUGGGAGAGGUCCUUGGAUACUGGCAAACUUGAGGGAGGCAGAGGAAAGUGGAAUUCCCGGUGUAGUGGUGAUAUGCGUAGAUAUCGGGAGGAACACCAGUGGCGAAGGCGGCUUUCUGGGCCUUACCUGACGCUGAGACGCGAAAGCUAGGGGAGCGAACGGG